UGUGGGAAGUAUCACCAUCUUCGCUAACUCCCCGACGAAUAGGCGAUCCUGAAGCACCUGAUCGGUCAUCUUGAAGUGCAUCCCAAUCACUAUGGUCGGCUCUCCUGAAGGCAGGUCCAGAUUGUAGUCCGCGAUAAAGCUGGGGGAGAUCGGUGUCUUACCCUUGUUGGCAGCUUCUUGACUAGUUGCCCGACUCCCUCCGGACCUAACUG
rnacentral:lncRNA from 1 species